rnacentral:rRNA from 1 species
AUUGAACGCUGGCGGCAGGCCUAACACAUGCAAGUCGAACGAGUGGCGGACGGGUGAGUAAUGUCUGGGAAACUGCCUGAUGGAGGGGGAUAACUACUGGAAACGGUAGCUAAUACCGCAUACCAUCGGAUGUGCCCAGAUGGGAUUAGCUAGUAGGUGGGGUAAAGGCUCACCUAGGCGACGAUCCCUAGCUGGUCUGAGAGGAUGACCAGCCCCACUGGAACUGAGACACGGUCCAGACUCCUACGGGCGGCAGCAGUGGGGAAUAUUCCACAAUCGGCGCAAGCCUGAUGCAGCCAUGCCGCGUGUAUGCAGAAGGCCUUCGGGUUGUAAAGUACUUUCGGCGUGGAGGCGUUACCCGCGGAAGAAGCACCGGCUAACUCCGUGCCAGCAGCCGCGGUAAUUC